rnacentral:tRNA from 1 species
UCCCUGGUGGCUCAGAUGGUAAAGCAUCUAUCUGCAAUGCAGGAGACCUGGGUUCAAUCCCUGGGUUGGGAA